rnacentral:tRNA from 1 species
UCCUCGAUAGCUCAAUGGCAGAGCAACCGGCUGUUAACCGGUAGGUUCCAGGUUCGAGCCCUGGUCGAGGAG